AGCGAACGCUGGCGGCAGGCCUAACACAUGCAAGUCGAACGGACCCUUCGGGGUUAGUGGCGGACGGGUGAGUAACACGUGGGAACGUGCCUUUAGGUUCGGAAUAGCUCCUGGAAACGGGUGGUAAUGCCGAAUGUGCCCUUCGGGGGAAAGAUUUAUCGCCUUUAGAGCGGCCCGCGUCUGAUUAGCUAGUUGGUGAGGUAACGGCUCACCAAGGCGACGAUCAGUAGCUGGUUUGAGAGGAUGACCAGCCACACUGGGACUGAGACACGGCCCAGACUCCUACGGGAGGCAGCAGUGGGGAAUCUUGCGCAAUGGGCGAAAGCCUGACGCAGCCAUGCCGCGUGAAUGAUGAAGGUCUUAGGAUUGUAAAAUUCUUUCACCGGGGACGAUAAUGACGGUACCCGGAGAAGAAGCCCCGGCUAACUUCGUG
rnacentral:rRNA from 1 species